rnacentral:snoRNA from 1 species
CCUGCCCGUGCAAGUGUUACAAGUGUGGCUGCUGUGUUACAUGUGAGUCAGUAGUUGCAAGGAGAAAGAGGCUAUAUUUAUGCUCAGUGGUCCUACGAACAUCUGAGUAAUUAGUGGUCUAGCAGU